rnacentral:misc_RNA from 1 species
UGGAGUCCUUAGGAACGCAAGGGAAUAGUCGCGAAACGUUGACAAGAGCAUCGUAUCACAUUCAAGAGAAAGAUGUCCAGUGAAGCGCAAACUAAGGUACGAAUGUUACUGAGCAUUUAGCGGCAGGAAACAUUCCAGGGAAAUAGUAGUAGAAGAAGAAGGGACCAGUGAAAAAGAAGGGAAAAAGAUAGUCUGAUGUGUGUAUAUACGCGGGUGGCGAGGGACGAGCAUAAGGUAAACAUAAAAACGCCGAAGUGGAACGGUAAGUAAAUCCAGCGAACAGCGAGAAAGGAAAGGCUUCCCUCUUGGGAAACAACUUCGAGGCGGGACUAAAAAACGCGUUUCAACGUGCCUUUCGAGCUACGAGCCGCUGCAUCGUCGUUAGAAAGUAAACGAGGCGCCGUUUACUAUAAGAAUGUGUGUCUUCAUCUUCCUGAAUCGAUCCUUGAAUCGAAACGUUCGAUCGAUCGAUAGUUAACCCUAAAAUGACAGUGUGACCGACCUCAUGAAAUUUUAGACAUGUUACGGAAGUAUAAACGAACUUUAGAAUAUUUAAUUUUUGUUUACCU